CUUGCUGUUGACGUCCGGUGCUGUGUCGUCCCACAUUAAAUAAAGCAGCAGUUUAUGGCACCCUUUGAACACAAUGCCUUUCCGUCUGGCGUGUCUGGCGUCUGGUACUGUGUCAUCCCUCCCAGCCUGCUCCGCACAAUAGUAAUUGACGAACACAACACACCACGUGGAGAGAAGCAAGGUGUGGAGUACCCAAGCCUCUCACAGUCCAUGCUAGUAGACUCACCCUGCAUGUGGAGAUCUCCCAAAAUGCACGGAGGUUAUUCCAGAGCUGCAGGACAGAGUACUUGAGGCCAUUGGUGAACAGAAAGCUGAGGUUGAACAAAGCCAAGAAUUGAUAGCUGCCCAAGGUGUAAGCAAGAUUCACAAUGAUGAGGUCAUUGUGACGUGUGCAAUGUGUCCACUGGUCUUGGCCUUCCUGACCAAGGCAGCCACACAAAGGAAAUUCCACGUUAUUGUUGCCGAACGUGCCCCUAAAUAUGAUGCAAGAUGUUUUAUGCGUCUCUUUCACGUCAUCGUGUCUGAUGUGCACAAUACAUAACACAGGGACUGCCACAUGUAGGGGUGAUGGCUUCUUGCAGCUUCCUUUAUUUUAUUAUGUUCUUAUGUUCUCAAUACAUCUUUUACUUGUGCAGGGUCACCCAGUGGCAAAAGCUUUAUGUACUGCUGGAAUUGAGACAACAUUAAUUCAAGACUCUGCAGUGUUCCCCAUCAUGUCACGUGUCAACAAGGUCAUCAAAGGUCAUCGUUGGCACCGAGACGGUGGUGACCAACGGAGGCAUUGAGACCUUUGUUGGUGCAGCCUCUCUUGCCUCACCACCAAAGUUUUAUUCUGUUUCAGUA